UUCGCACGCCCGCUCAAGAACUACAAUGAAUUGACGGGGGCCCGCACAAGCGGUGGAGUAUGUGGUUUAAUUCGAUGCAACGCGAAGAACCUUACCUGGUCUUGACAUCCCGGAGACCCUUAGGAAACUAGGGGGUGCUUCCAUCUGGAAGAAUCUGGAGACAGGUGCUGCAUGGCUGUCGUCAGCUCGUGUCGUGAGAUGUUGGGUUAAGUCCCGCAACGAGCGCAACCCUUGCCUUUAGUUGCCAGCAGUUCGGCUGGGCACUCUAAAGGGACUGCCGGUGUUAAACCGGAGGAAGGUGGGGAUGACGUCAAGUCCUCAUGGCCUUUAUGACCAGGGCUACACACGUACUACAAUGGCCGAUACAAAGGGCAGCGACACUGCGAGGUGAAGCCAAUCCCGUAAAAUCGGUCUCAGUCCGGAUUGGAGUCUGCAACUCGACUCCAUGAAGUUGGAAUCGCUAGUAAUCGUGGAUCAGCAUGCCACGGUGAAUACGUUCCCGGGCCUU
rnacentral:rRNA from 1 species